UGGGGAAUUUUGGACAAUGGGCGAAAGCCUGAUCCAGCAAUGCCGCGUGUGUGAAGAAGGCCUUCGGGUUGUAAAGCACUUUUGUCCGGAAAGAAAUCCUUGGCUCUAAUACAGUCGGGGGAUGACGGUACCGGAAGAAUAAGCACCGGCUAACUACGUGCCAGCAGCCGCGGUAAUACGUAGGGUGCAAGCGUUAAUCGGAAUUACUGGGCGUAAAGCGUGCGCAGGCGGUUUGCUAAGACCGAUGUGAAAUCCCCGGGCUCAACCUGGGAACUGCAUUGGUGACUGGCAGGCUAGAGUAUGGCAGAGGGGGGUAGAAUUCCACAUGUAGCAGUGAAAUGCGUAGAGAUGUGGAGGAAUACCGAUGGCGAAGGCAGCCCCCUGGGCCAAUACUGACGCUCAUGCACGAAAGCGUGGGGAGCAAACAGGAUUAGAUACCCUGGUAGUCCACGCCCUAAACGAUGUCAACUAGUUGUUGGGGAUUCAUUUCCUUAGUAACGUAGCUAACGCGUGAAGUUGACCGCCUGGGGAGUACGGUCGCAAGAUUAAAACUUAAAGGAAUUGACGGGGUCAUAGCUGUUUCCU
rnacentral:rRNA from 1 species